rnacentral:rRNA from 1 species
AAUUCCCUCGUCCCGCACGCCCUCCACACUUCGGUCCCCUCAUCCUGCACGAACCCUAGGAGAGAGAUAGGAAGAUGAGAGGGAGAGAAAGGGGAGAGGAGAGGAGACGGAGGUCCGACAGUGCUUGCCUUCCGGACCAGCAGUUGUGGGUUUCCACGAGGAAGGAGCAGCGACGGGGGUAGGCCCCAGGCGGCGCACACUUCAUGGGGAGGCAAGGAACUAGGAGGUGAUGGGGUCGGAUCUGGUGGUGCUAGGUCGGAGCACCUCCUCUCCUCUCCCCAGCCGCCAUCGGCCACCUCCCAGCCCUCCUCCUCCGCCUCGUCGCCUCGCCACCUUGAGCUUGCAGCGAGCGCUCUGCUUUGGCGGCGGCGGCAGCCUCUUAUGGCGGAGCAGGAGGGGGCCUCUUGUGGCGGAGUAGGAGGGGGAAGACGGUGGCGGCGCACCCUAUGGUGGCGGAGGAGGAGGAGGAGGAGGGAGAUGGUGGCGACGGCGCUUGUUUAGGGACUCGCUCAAGGUGCUCGAGCCCGACAUCCAGCACACCAACAACCUCGGAUCGACUGCAGCCUCGCCGGCGCCCUCGGCCUCCUCAGGAUCCCCAUCUACAAGCCACCGUCCGAUUUCGAGGGAGAAUAGUAGACCCCAACGAAAAUGAGCGUCCUAGCGGCGAACCCAAGGAUGUCGGUGAUUAUGGCAGGUCCAUGCUCCAGUUCUUCUAUUGGGGUGCGGAGUGCGGGCUGAGAGUUGGAUGCUUUGUGCUAGCAUAUAGAAGUGCUGCAACCACCAUUGUUCCGACUGUGAGGUCACUAGAGAGGGAGUCUGGCUUGCGAGUUUCACCGAUGCGGUCACAACGGCGAUGCCAAACUCUGAGGAGAUACCAAAGGUGUACUGGGAGGCGAUGCUUCCUGGAAUCCCAAUGCCUCCACCUAUUAUCAACCUGCUGUUAGCCCAGCAAGAUGAUGUUCUCUUUUGUUGGUUGCGGUUCUGCAUAACUAUUGCUGGUCGCUGGAGCAGAAGCAAUGAAGCUUGAAGUUUAUAAGUUCAGGGAUGGCAAUAAUACUGCUUUUUACGCUGCCUAUCACUGUUAUUUCAUGUUUCUGAAUUUAAGUCCCGAGAACCAAGUGUCGGUGUCGUCAAACUUUAAUGUUAUGUCAUGUCUUGAGAGUUUGGUUUGUGCGAGUGUGUACUAAACUACUCUUGGAUGCUAUGUUUGAGUCAAAUUGGUGUUAAAUCCGCAACAUAUUGUUAUAUUUGUCACUUGUUUGCUACCACUGCUUGUUAAACUAUUAAGAAAAGAUGGGGUAUAGAGGAUGUUUUGGCAAAAGGAAACAACACACUAUCUUUUUACAUGAGGAAACUGCAGAUUGGUGGAGCACUUCCUGCUAAUAUGAUACAUUGCUGCACUUAAUUGGUUAUCUGUAGUGUGCCUCAAUUUUGAAUGUGACAUGUCAUGUAUUUAUAGGCUAAAAUUGAGCUUGUUUUUGCAGUUCCAUAGGUAGAGGUAUGUAAUUAGUCAGUAUAUUUUUAAACUAUUAGUUCAUCUUCUCAAAAUAAUUUUUAAUGUACAUGUAAUGUAUCUAAAGUCAGGAUAUUUCAUACUGCACAAAGAAGUUUC